CGAACGCCCCGCAAGGGGAGUGGCAGACGGGUGAGUAACGCGUGGGAACAUACCUUUCGGUUCGGAAUGGUCCCGGGAAACUGGGGUUAAUACCGGAUACGUCCUUCGGGAGAAAGAUUUAUCGCCGAAAGAUUGGCCCGCGUCUGAUUAGCUAGUUGGCGGGGUAAUGGCCCACCAAGGCGACGAUCAGUAGCUGGUCUGAGAGGAUGAUCAGCCACACUGGGACUGAGACACGGCCCAG
rnacentral:rRNA from 1 species